rnacentral:rRNA from 1 species
GAUGAACGCUGGCGGCGUGCCUAAUACAUGCAAGUAGAACGCUGAAGGAGGAGCUUGCUCUUCUGGAUGAGUUGCGAACGGGUGAGUAACGCGUAGGUAACCUGCCUGGUAGCGGGGGAUAACUAUUGGAAACGAUAGCUAAUACCGCACGACAACAGUUAUUGCAUGAUAACUGUUUAAAAGGGGCAACUGCUCCACUACCAGAUGGACCUGCGUUGUAUUAGCUAGUUGGUGAGGUAACGGCUCACCAAGGCGACGAUACAUAGCCGACCUGAGAGGGUGAUCGGCCACACUGGGACUGAGACACGGCCCAGACUCCUACGGGAGGCAGCAGUAGGGAAUCUUCGGCAAUGGACGGAAGUCUGACCGAGCAACGCCGCGUGAGUGAAGAAGGUUUUCGGAUCGUAAAGCUCUGUUGUAAGAGAAGAACGAGUGUGAGAGUGGAAAGUUCACACUGUGACGGUAUCUUACCAGAAAGGGACGGCUAACUACGUG